GUGUCCGAUGCUUGCGGCUGAUGGCUUCUACCUACGUGCAUCAAACAGCGGGCCUGCACCUUCGCCGAGACAGCAGUAAAACAGUUCUGGGUAACUGCAGCGACUGGGUCACCAAUGCCGUUCCACUUCCUGCACUGCACUCCGCAUGGGUCAAAGGGCCAGCGCAUGCCUUUUAUGCGUUGUCGCCAGCCAUAAUGUGCAGGUCGGACAUGAGGCAAUAAAAGCUUGGCCCACCAACCACAUGGCUCCUACCGCCCUGUCAACGUAGAGCCGUGCUGUUUGAAGUCAUCACAGAUAUAAACUACACGUUGCAGCAACUCUCAAUCGCAUUCCUGCCCGUCAUGUCGAACAGCGUAGCGCUAAUUUCAGUUUGAGGUCUGCACUCUUACUACAAUGCAGAUGGUGACAGCAUCAUGCUGCACUCGGUUACCGUCGUGAAUCAUGGACCAAGACUGCACUCUUAGGC